rnacentral:rRNA from 1 species
UACGUAGGGUGCGAGCGUUAAUCCGAAUUACUGGGCGUAAAGCGUGCGCAGGCGGCUUUGCAAGACAGAUGUGAAAUCCCCGGGCUCAACCUGGGAACUGCAUUUGUGACUGCAAGGCUAGAGUACGGCAGAGGGGGAUGGAAUUCCGCGUGUAGCAGUGAAAUGCGUAGAUAUGCGGAGGAACACCAAUGGCGAAGGCAAUCCCCUGGGCCUGUACUGACGCUCAUGCACGAAAGCGUGGGGAGCAAACAGG